rnacentral:ribozyme from 1 species
UGCCCAGCAACUCCUAUCCCUACCUCCUCGCGGUACCGGCCGGAAACUAUGAGCAACCUUAGGGAUGAUCGGGUAACCAACCUCGGCGGGAACUUUGGUCGUAGGCUGACAGGGAAGA